UGCCUCAGUAACGGCGAGUGAAGCGGCAAAAGCUCAAAUUUGAAAUCUGGCUCUUUCAGGGUCCGAGUUGUAAUUUGUAGAAGAUGCUUCGGGUGUGGUCCCGGUCUAAGUUCCUUGGAACAGGACGUCAUAGAGGGUGAGAAUCCCGUAUGUGACUGGGUACCUACGCUCAUGUGAAGCUCUUUCGACGAGUCGAGUUGUUUGGGAAUGCAGCUCAAAAUGGGUGGUAAAUUUCAUCUAAAGCUAAAUAUUGGCCAGAGACCGAUAGCGCACAAGUAGAGUGAUCGAAAGAUGAAAAGCACUUUGGAAAGAGAGUUAAACAGUACGUGAAAUUGUUGAAAGGGAAGCGCUUGCAAUCAGACUUGCGCCUAGUUGAUCAUCCGGGCUUCUGCCCGGUGCACUCGAUUAGGCUCAGGCCAGCAUCGGUUUGGGUGGUUGGAUAAAGGCUUGGGGAACGUAGCCUCCUUCGGGGGGUGUUAUAGCCCCAGGUGCAAUGCAGCCUACCUGGACCGAGGACCGCGCUUCGGCUAGGAUGCUGGCGUAAUGGUUGUAAGCGACCCGUCUUGAAACACGGACCAAGGAGUCUAACAUUUAUGCGAGUGUUUGGGUGUUAAACCCAUACGCGUAAUGAAAGUGAACGGAGGUAAGAACCCUUAAGGGUGCAUUAUCGACCGAUCCUGAUGUCUUCGGAUGGAUUUGAGUAAGAGCAUAACUGUUGGGACCCGAAAGAUGGUGAUCUAUACGUGAAUAGGGUGAAGCCAGAGGAAACUCUGGUGGAGGCUCGCAGCGGUUCUGACGUGC
rnacentral:rRNA from 1 species